AAUACCACCCAAAGGAGUUACAUGAAAUACCGUAGUUAUGUAAUGUAUACUGAAGGGAAACCUCACAAAUGCUUGUACACAAAGAAAGAGAACUUGUCUACUGACGAAUACUGGUUUUUGCAGGAUUUUAUAGCUGGAGAUAUGGGAUAUCAGCAUCGCCUCCAUGCUAAGCUGGGUGAUGAUGGUCAUGAUCCUUAUAUGACAGUUGACAACAUACCAGCACCUCCGCGAUCGCCUUCGACUACACUAAGUAUCCAAUACAGGCUCAAACAUUGGAACAGCACAGCUAAAUGCGCUGUGUUCACCUUGUACC
rnacentral:lncRNA from 1 species